rnacentral:rRNA from 1 species
UGCUUACAACAUAAUGUUAAUGCAUCGGAUUCCAUUAGAACUCCGCAGUUAAGUACGCUCGGGCUAGAGUAGUACUGGGACGGGUGACUGCCCGAGAAUUCAUAGUGUUUUAAAUGC